GGAAAUGAAAAGUAACCCAGAAAUGUAAUUUAAGGAUGACCUCUCUGAACACCUGCUGUAUUCUCCCGGCAAACACUGGGGCCAUGGUGUUUCUCCUCUAAUGACACCUCAUCAAUCCGCUCCUAUCAACGUCCCAGCCAUGGAGGUGACUUGGAGUGCUCAGAAGCUAUAGAAAAUGUCAACGUUUUGGGAGAAAAGAGUGAGUCCCAUAGCUGA
rnacentral:lncRNA from 1 species